ensembl:lncRNA
CUCGGAGCAGCCCUUCUCCUCUCAAGGCCCUGCCCACCCCGGAGGCCGCCUCGGGUGUGCUGCCCGCUCCUGGAUGGCCGACCGCAUCCUAUGCUGGAGACCCAUGAGGGGCCCUAGUGCCGCCUCCUUAGAGAGCCCCAGAACAGUGUCACCCCUGGGGGACAGGUUUGACCCUGCUUGUGCCGCCCCGGCUCCCAGCAGUGAGUCUUCCUGUGUCUCAGGCAGGUGAGCCGAGGACCACGGGCCUGAGACACCAUAUGGGAAAGAAGGAGCCACUAGGGCCUGGGGUGGCCGGCGGGACAGGCCCCUUCCUGUGAUCACCUGAGCACCGUCAGACACACAGGCAGGGAGGCUGGGGAGGGCCAGGGAAGGCCGGGGAGGGGCAGGCACGUCCACCUGGCCUGGGCUUUGGGGGAGGAUGUGGAGAGGCCUCCUGUUGGGGUUGGAGCCCGGGAGGGCAGGAGGGCGUGGAGCCCUGUGGGUGGGCAGGAGGGCGUGGGGGUCACUGCCCAGCAGGGAGUGUCCCAUCCUAGUUGGCUGGGCUGGUGGGGAUGGGGCGAUGACGCCCAGCGUCCACUCGGGGGUGAGGCUUGUCUCUGGAGCCGAGCUCCCCGUAAUUGGGCUGGUCUUGGGCACCCCGCUCAGGCCUGGGGGAGCACCUGGGAGCCGCAGAGGGGACGGUACUGCCAGGAACUGGCCCCGGUCAGUCCCACUGCCACACGGGGAGCUCCCAGUCUUGCUGGAGGAGUGGCCGUGUGCCCUUGGAGGGCUGGACACGGGGCUGCCUGGAGCCCCGUGCAGGGCGGGGAGGCCCUGGCUUCCUGUGGAGGAGCUGGGAGCAGGGCGUUGGGUCCCCACUGGGUGGAAGGGCCAGUUUGUGGGGGCUGGAGGUGCGGGGGGAGCCGUCGCCUGGAGCUGUGGGGUCCCCCUCUUUCAGGGCUCCAUUUGGGAGCCCCUCGGAGCAGGGUCGUGCCUGUCCACGCCCUCCCCAGGUGGGGCCGGGUGCUGUGCGGAGGGUGCAAGGCCCCAAGCAGGACAGUCACCCUUUGUCUGCAGCGGCUGCGUCUUCCCGCCGCUGCCACGAGAGGGCGCAGCCUCCCACAGAAGCGGGUCCCAUCGCUGUGUGGACCACAGGCCGCCGGGGCCUCGGCAGCUCUGCGCCUUGGGGGCUGGCGGCAGCCCCGGGCGUCCCCUCCUCCACCACUGCCUGCCGCCCCGGGGGCGUCCUGGGCCAGCCCAGCGGCCCUGUAUCUGGACCUGUUCAGGGCCAGGG